CCACAACGAUACGCAUUGUGACGUGUCCACACAGAUUGUCUGAUAACUGUACUGAGCAACGCAGCCGAGCAGGCGGUUCGCCGUUGGCCUGAUACCCCGGUAUCACCCGACCGAGCCCACCCUGAAUCGCGCUGCGGCGAAACGCCUUAUGAAGACGCACUCUCUGUCCCCUUCGUCUAGUGGCCUAGGACACUGCCCUUUCACGGCGGUAACAGGGGUUCGAACCCCCUAGGGGACGCCACUUCGCUUCAUGAUUUCAGAGCAUACUCUCGCGAGUGUGCUGCGAAAUACCGCUCUUUAACAAUCCGGAACAAGCUGAAAAUUUGAAAUAGAAACAUGCUGAGCAAAAUCAGUAUGCGAGUCUCUCAAACGAAUAAAGCAAACCUAAAUGACCGUCCCUGUCGAGGGGCCUGGUCACUGUCGCCCCGGCCGAUGCCUGUUUACAGACAUCACCGAGGCAGACUGAGCGAACGGCUGAAAGCCAAGGCGCCCAGCACGGAGAAACCGCAGUGGACUGUACGUCCAUGAGGAUUUCGAGUACUGCGUAACGCGGGAUUUCAGGCGUGCAGCCAGUCGGUAAUAGACAGACACUUUAGGGUUGUGA
rnacentral:misc_RNA from 1 species